rnacentral:rRNA from 1 species
CCUACGGGAGGCUGCAGUGAGGAAUAUUGGUCAAUGGGCGCGAGUCUGAACCAGCCAAGUAGCGUGAAGGAUGACUGCCCUACGGGUUGUAAACUUCUUUUAUAAAGGAAUAAAGUGAGGCACGUGUGCCUUUUUGCAUGUACUUUAUGAAUAAGGAUCGGCUAACUCCGUGCCAGCAGCCGCGGUAAUACGGAGGAUCCGAGCGUUAUCCGGAUUUAUUGGGUUUAAAGGGAGCGUAGAUGGGUUGUUAAGUCAGUUGUGAAAGUUUGCGGCUCAACCGUGAAAUUGCAAUUGAUACUGGCAGCCUUGAGUACAGUUGAGGUAGGCGGAAUUCGUGGUGUAGCGGUGAAAUGCUUAGAUAUCACGAAGAACUCCGAUUGCGAAGGCAGCUUACUAAACUGCGACUGACAUUGAUGCUCGAAAGUGUGGGUAUCAAACAGGAUUAGAUACCCCUGUAGUC